rnacentral:lncRNA from 1 species
GAGUGUACUCCUACUUAUUCGUUUCUAAGUGAACAAUAAGAGAGCCUCAGGCAGAUCCUUCAAGAGAUGUUGCAGAUGAAGGCAAUUGUUAUCAGAGGAGAUGACAGCUCCAUGAGUGUUAUUGCCCCUGAAGACCUUCCGGUGGGACAAGAUGUGGAGAUCCUACGUGGUGUAUUGGAAUCCAGAGAUGAACACAGCAGUCCCUGCCUUCCAGGAAAUAACAAUCUAGUCAGAAGGAGAAACUAUCUUGGGGAAGAAAGAUGAGUAUUUACUCAUAAGUUAAUAGAUCCAAAAAAAACUUAAAUGUCACCUAGAGUACUACUCACCCUACCCCACCUGAAACAAACUUUAAAGAUGAGAAAAUGAAGUCCAAAGACAGUAAGUGGUUACCAAAAUUCACACCUCCAGUUAUUGUCAGUCCAGAAGGUGAGCCCAGAAUUCUUGAUGUCAUAGCAUACCACCAUCUAUGUUUGACACUUGAUCAUGUAUUGUCUGUGACAUCAUUCAUAGAGUAUCAAAUAAAGGAAUGGAAGUCUAUGG